AAAAGCAUCGUUAUCUCUUUUAAAAUCUAAUUCAAAUUAUUUUAUUAUAAAUUUAAGUCUCGUAACUUUCAUUAAUUUGUACUUUAAACACUUUUUUUGAUACACGAAAUAGAAAUUAAAAAUAACCUCUAUCUCUAUCCAACAGUGUCGUUUAAUAUUUCGUCUUUCAUAGAUGGUAAAAAAUUACGGAACAACAGUAAAAGAAGAGAAUAAGUAAUUCCAACCAUUGAUCAAAUCGCCACUCACAGACACGUCUGUCUUUUUCUCGGAAUCGCUUCUCAUCGUUUUCUUCCAGCUCUCACGGACCGUGCCUUCUUUCCUUUCGCCCUUUCAUCUUCUUGUAAGAAUACCGAGACUCGCGCAUAGGAGAAUGCCAAAAUGAGUAUGAGGGCUGGUCUAAUUGUAGGAGCACGGUAAAGGUAUCGCAACAAAGCGGCGCCGCUUCAUCUUGUAUACAGUUUUGCACUCUCGGUCCGCCGACGCUCGAGAGAGAGAGAGAGAGAGAGAAUACUUCGAGUCCACACACACAAUCUCACCACAAUUUCAACUUUCCAGGCUCUUAUGUCGGUAUUAGGCGCGUCUGAUUUUUUUUUCUUUUUUCUUUCUCUCGCUCUAAUCUACCGGGAACCAAUAAUCAUGUUUUCGAGAUAUUUCACGUUCUCCUUUUUUCUUGUGCUUAUCUUUUACGACUCGGAUUUCGAAAAAAACUCGAAAAUAUUUUUUUAAAUAUAACUUUUUUUAAAUAUAACUAGUUUUAUGAAAAUAAAAUAUAUUCUGUCUUAUUAUUAUUA